GCGGGGGUUGCCAAGCCCGGUCAAAGGCGCAGGGCUUAGGACCCUGUCUUUAAGGAGUUCGCGGGUUCGAAUCCCGCCUCCCGCA
rnacentral:tRNA from 8 species